rnacentral:rRNA from 1 species
CAGUCGAGGGGCAGCAUGGUCUUAGCUUGCUAAGGCCGAUGGCGACCGGUGCACGGGUGAGUAACGCGUAUCCAACCUGCCUUACACUCUUGGUCAGCCUUCUGAAAGGGAGAUUAAUACAAGAUGUUAUCAUGAGUAAGCAUUUUCGCAUGAUUAAAGGUUUACCGGUGUAAGAUGGGGAUGCGUUCCAUUAGAUAGUAGGCGGGGUAACGGCCCACCUAGUCUUCGAUGGAUAGGGGUUCUGAGAGGAAGGUCCCCCACAUUGGAACUGAGACACGGUCCAAACUCCUACGGGAGGCAGCAGUGAGGAAUAUUGGUCAAUGGACGAGAGUCUGAACCAGCCAAGUAGCGUGAAGGAUGAAGGUUCUAUGGAUUGUAAACUUCUUUUAUACGGGAAUAAACGGAUCCACGUGUGGAUUUUUGCAUGUACCGUAUGAAUAAGGAUCGGCUAACUCCGUGCCAGCAGCCGCGGUAAUACGGAGGAUCCGAGCGUUAUACGGAUUUAUUGGGUUUAAAGGGAGCGUAGAUGGGUUGUUAAGUCAGUUGUGAAAGUUUGCGGCUCAACCGUAAAAUUGCAAUUGAUACUGGCAGUCUUGAGUACAGUUGAGGUAGGCGGAAUUCGUGGUGUAGCGGUGAAAUGCUUAGAUAUCACGAAGAACUCCGAUUGCGAAGGCAGCUUACUAACCUGUAACUGACAUUGAUGCUCGAAAGUGUGGGUAUCAAACAGGAUUAGAUACCCUGGUAGUCCACACGGUAAACGAUGAAUACUCGCUGUAGGCGAUAUACAGUCUGCGGCCAAGCGAAAGCAUUAAGUAUUCCACCUGGGGAGUACGCCGGCAACGGUGAAACUCAAAGGAAUUGACG